UACGUAGGUCCCGAGCGUUGUCCGGAUUUAUUGGGCGUAAAGCGAGCGCAGGUUGUUUAAUAAGUCUGAUGUAAAAGGCAGUGGCUCAACCAUUGUGUGCAUUGGAAACUGUUAGACUUGAGUGCAGUAGAGGAGAGUGGAAUUCCAUGUGUAGCGGUGAAAUGCGUAGAGAUCAGGAGGAACACCGGUGGCGAAAGCGGCUCUCUGGACUGUCACUGACACUGAGGCUCGAAAGCGUGGGUAGCAAACAGG
rnacentral:rRNA from 1 species